AGAAGGCCCAGGACCGGCACUAAUUGCAGAUGACCAUCCAUGAUCUGUUUUACAUUCACUCCGACUAACAUUAUUCUGCGUACCGGAGGAGCUGGAUUCUCCUAAAUUCCAGCCAAUUAUAUUCUGUCUUUCUUGGUUUACAGGACUAAGGUUCGCUCCGACUAACAUUAUUCUGCGUACCGGAGGAGCUGGAUUCUCCUAAAUUCCAGCCAAUUAUAUUCUGUCUUUCUUGGUUUACAGGACUAAGAAACUGUAUGUUUGUCUCAUUAGAAGGUACCAUAUAAUCUGGUAGCCGACUUUGUGCAGGAUUCUGCAAAUUAUUCCAACAAAUCUGCUGAUCUAUAUUGCCAUCACUCGAUGUUGAACCAUGAUUGAAACUCAAAGUUUCUGGCAGGU
rnacentral:lncRNA from 1 species